rnacentral:lncRNA from 1 species
CACCAGAAUUUUAAAAAAUACCUGGGAGAAAUCUGAACUGGCUUCACUGAUAAAUCUCAGGUUGCAGCCAUUACUCCCCUGGGAUACCUGAGUGGAUGCAACAUUUCUGCUACGCUUUCUGAAGUAUUGAUUGGGAAAACCAGCUCAGAUAUGGUGCUGUUUCCUAGCAGGUGAGAAUGCUGCUUUGCUAGACCAAAUGUCAAUUUGGUUCGAUUGGCUAAUAAACUGCUUUUCCACUUUAUGA